rnacentral:lncRNA from 1 species
CCUGCUGAUAUUAUCCAUUAUCGUAUCGUACGAUCCGAAUUCACCCCUACAUACAUGUAUUGCAUCACCACCGUCCGUUUUUUUUAAUUAAGGGGUAUUACCGUAUUAAGAAAAAUAAAUGGAGAUAGAUAUCUUUGUGAAUUGUCUCUCAAACUACUUAUUAGUGCAAGUUCCCUACUUAAUUAUGUACUUGUAGUUUGCUUAAUUAGUGUUGUGUUUGAUGCUUAAUGUAGACCUCUUAUUAUAUAUUAUCAAAGUUCUAUAUAGUAUAUAUUAGUCUCCGACUUGGUUUGUUUAAUUUCUCGGUGAAAAAAUCCUCCCCUAGCAUCUAUCAUCUAAUCGUUAGUAGGACAAAAGCUGUGCUACGUGACGAUGAUUCGAUUAUUAGUUAGGGGUGAGCGAGUCUACGAAACUCAAAAGCCCUUCUUAUUUCAGUUAGGUGUUGGGCUGUUGGCAGAGAGACAUAGGAACAAUUUCUUAUUCGAUUCCUAAGCACUGUCAGAACUGCUUAAUUUAUGUGACACAGGUGACCAAGUUUCGGAACCAAACUUAUGUGACAGAGGUGAUCUACUAAAGUUAUGAAAUCGACCAAGAACUUCCGGUCCACUAAAGACCAAGAAUGUGUAGAAGUGGAGGCCAACAUCUCCAAUGUGUAAGCCUUUUCCGUCGGAAUGCCAAACCUGCUCGGUACUGCAAGCUCGGAACUCACUAUCAAAAAAUAAUAAUUGAACGGUGGUUGAGGUGUUCAUAGUGGCGGCCGGACUGGCUGGCUGUGGCCAUUCCAACGCAAGCAAAAUCCUUCAAACGUCACCGUCGAGGACGACAAAGUCCACUGAGUCGUGUUCCCCUCUCCCCGCAAAACU